rnacentral:rRNA from 1 species
AUGAGCUCGCUGCGAUCCAAGCUCGUGGUUGUCGUUCUGGUCAUGGCAGUAGCUGCUGCUGGCAGCCUUUCCUUGGUGAGCGUGGAAGAAAGGCCAGCUCUACUCCGUGGCAUGGCGCCGUCCACGCCGAACUCAGUGGGGAGCGUCGAAUUGCCGUGGCGGCGCCAUGUGCUGCACCGGGGGGAGAAGAUCCUGGCCUGGCGGUGGCGCCACAAUCCGCCCUCCGGCCCGAGCAGCCGUGGUCACGCCGUUGUCACCGUCUCGCCGGACGAGGAAGUGAAGAACCAGGGUCCCGCCGAAAACAUUGGUCCAUCAGUGCCAUGA